CCUCGGGUGGCAGCAGUGGGGAAUAUUGGGCCAUUGGCGCAAGCCUGACCCAGCAACGCCGCCUGAAGGAAGAAGGCUUUCGGGUUGUAAACUUCUUUUCUGAGGGACGAAGAAAGUGACGGUACCUCAGGAAUAAGCCACGGCUAACUACGUGCCAGCAGCCGCGGUAAUACGUAGGUGGCAAGCGUUAUCCGGAUUUAUUGGGUGUAAAGGGCGUGUAGGCGGGAAAGUAAGUCAGAUGUGAAAACUCAGGGCUCAACCCUGAGCCUGCAUUGGAAACUGUUUUUCUUGAGUGCUGGAGAGGCAAUCGGAAUGCCGGGUGUAGCGGUGAAAUGCGUAGAUAUACGGAGGAACACCAGUGGCGAAGGCGGAUUGCUGGACAGUAACUGAUGCUGAGGCGCGAAAGCGUGGGGAGCAAACAGGAUUAGAUACCCUAGUAGUC
rnacentral:rRNA from 1 species